GACGAACGCUGGCGGCGUGCUUAACACAUGCAAGUCGAACGAUGAAGAAGAGAAACGCGAACUUCGGUUCAAAUUUCACUUCGGAUUAGUGGCAGACGGGUGAGUAACGCGUGAGCAACCUACCUCUUACAAAGGGAUAGCCUCGGGAAACCGUGAUUAAUACCAUAUGACACAUUCAUAAGGCAUCUUAAGAAUGUUAAAGCUACGGCGGUAAGAGAUGGGCUCGCGUCCCAUUAGCUAGUUGGUGAGGUAACGGCCCACCAAGGCGACGAUGGGUAACCGGCCUGAGAGGGUGAACGGUCACAUUGGAACUGAGACACGGUCCAAACUCCUACGGGAGGCAGCAGUGGGAAUAUUGCACAAUGGAGGGAACUCUGAUGCAGCGACGCCGCGUGAGCGAUGAAGGAAUUCGUUUCGUAAAGCUCUGUUCUAUGGGAAGAAAAGGACUGUACCAUAGGAGAAAGCCCCGGCUAAAUACGUG
rnacentral:rRNA from 1 species